rnacentral:ncRNA from 2 species
AGACAGCAGGUCGGUGCCCUAAAAGCAGGUAUCCGCUAAAGAGUGUGUUAAACUCACUGCCGAAUACUAGGGCCCCGAAAAUGAAUGGCGCAUAUAGUACUACCGAUCUCAGACAUCAGUUCUAUUGAACUGAGAGUAGGGGGAUGUGGACAUUUUUGUGAAGGUGCAAUGUGAGUUGGACUGGAAGAAUGUCUAUUACAGAUCCUAAUUGAAGUAGCGAUUAUCCAGGCUUGUAUCCUGGGGGCUGAUGAGGAGUAGGGUUUCUGGACAACUUAAACAGAUCCAGAGUUAGUCGAUCCUAAUCUCAAUAAUGGGAGAAAGGGAGUACAGUUGAUAUUCUGUAACUGACAACAGUUCGCGGCAACGCAUACUAUUUUUCUCCGCCAAUCUUAUACCGUUGGUAGGGAUCUCUUUCCUACAUGACAGUACUAAUACCCAGGGAAACUGGUCAUCAGGCGAACUGCGGCGUUCUGCUGGCAAAACAUAGCUUCGGUUAUGUCAAUGGCUAUUGGAUUGGUCCAUGAAGCGAAAAAUAGUUUACUGUGUCACUCGUACCGAUAACCGCAUCAGGUCUUCUAGGUAAGUAGCCUAUGGCCAUUGAGGCAUGAUAGUUCAGGGAAUUCGGCCAAUUAGAGCUGUAACUUCGGGAUAAAGCUUGGCUCUGAUGAAAAUCAGAACCGAUUGUUACGCGGAGAGCCCAACUGUUUAAUAAAAACGUAGUGUCGCGCUGUGGUAGUAUAGCCAGUGAACGCGACAUGAAUCCUGCUCAGUGCUGUGUCUGUUAAUAUGGUUCAAGCCAACGAAGCACCGGUAAAUAGCUGGGGUAACUAUGACUCUUAUCAAAGUAGCGAAAUACCUCGUCACUUAAUUAGUGACCUGCAUGAACGGAGCUAUGAGGUUCUCACUGUCCCAAACUGUCUCUCAGCGAACCAACUGUAGUGGGAACGGUCACUAGAUAUCCAGCGGGGAAAGAAGACCCUGUAGAGCUUCACUUUGGUCUAGUCUUGUAUAGUUCCUGCGGGGGUGUAGACUAGGUGGGAGAGCAAUCGAU